UUGAAGAGUUUGAUCAUGGCUCAGAUUGAACGCUGGCGGCAGGCCUAACACAUGCAAGUCGAACGGUAACAGGAAGCAGCUUGCUGAUUCGCUGACGAGUGGCGGACGGGGGAGUAAUGUCUGGGAAACUGCCUGAUGGAGGGGGAUAACUACUGGAAACGGUAGCUAAUACCGCAUAAUGUCGCAAGACCAAAGAGGGGGACCUUCGGGCCUCUUGCCAUCGGAUGUGCCCAGAUGGGAUUAGCUUGUUGGUGGGGUAACGGCUCACCAAGGCGACGAUCCCUAGCUGGUCUGAGAGGAUGACCAGCCACACUGGAACUGAGACACGGUCCAGACUCCUACGGGAGGCAGCAGUGGGGAAUAUUGCACAAUGGGCGCAAGCCUGAUGCAGCCAUGCCGCGUGUAUGAAGAAGGCCUUCGGGUUGUAAAGUACUUUCA
rnacentral:rRNA from 1 species